AUCUUUGGGUAUUGAUUCACCCAGGAGCAAAGAUCGGUAGAUCGGCAAUGAGGAUUUUCAAAACUUCUAGACAUGGCAACGCGACCAUAGCAAUGACAGAAGAGAUGAUGGCGACAAAUUAGGUGAUCGGUGGCUCUAAUACCAUAUUAAAAUAUUUGCAAAAGAAGAAAAAAAGAAAAAGAGAGAGAAAAUUAAUUUUAUUUCUCUAUUUCAGCACAUUCGGUACAUCUCAUAGGUUAUAUAUAUAUACUCGUGUACAAACUCUAUACAAGAAAAAUAAUAUACUAACAAAGAAAAAUAAUACUCACUCAUACAAGUUGUUAUGUGUUUCCUAAAAUUACUUUAGCAAAAUCAUGCUAACAAAAAAAAUAAUGCUUACCAAUACAGGAUCACGCUAACAAAAAAUUAUAUUAUGAGCAUACAUAAGUUAUUAUGUAAUCUCUAAAACUAUGCUAAUAUUUGGCUUGGUCGGCUUGCAGGUUCAAUUUUUUUCCAUAUUCUUUCUUUCGUAUUCAAUCA
rnacentral:lncRNA from 1 species